rnacentral:rRNA from 1 species
AAAGGUCAAGCAGGCAGACNUCAAUUUUCUGCCACGAAUACAUUAGCAUGGNCAUAAUGGAAUAGGACCCUGUCCUCCUAUUUUCAGUUGGUUUUGGCAGCGCGAGGACUAGGGUAAUGAUUAAUAGGGAUAGUUGGGGGCAUUAAUAUUUAAUUGUCAGAGGUGAAAUUCUUGGAUUUAUGAAAGAUUAACUUCUGCGAAAGCAUCUGCCAAGGAUGUUUUCAUUAAUCAAGAACGAAAGUUAGGGGAUCGAAGACGAUCAGAUACCGUCGUAGUCUUAACCAUAAACGAUGCCGACCAGCGAUUAGGAGACGUUGAAUACAAAACACCACCAUCGGCGCGGUCGUCCUUGGCGUCUCGGGUCCUUCAGCGGGGGCCNGGGCGCGGGGUGCGGCCUUAGUCGCGCGGCUGGCUGCCGUGAUGAUCCUGACUUCCCCUAUGG